UACGUAGGUGGCAAGCGUUACUCGGAAUCACUAGGCGUAAAGCGCAGGUAGGCGGUUUGAUAAGUCUGUUGUGAAAGCUCCCGGCUCAACUGGGAGAGGUCAACGGAAACUGUCAGGCUAGAGUGUGGUAGAGGUAGCUGGAAUUCCCGGUGUAGCGGUGAAAUGCGUAGAUAUCGGGAGGAAUACCUAUGGCGAAAGCAGGCUACUGGACCAUCACUGACGCUGGAUCUGCGAAAGCUAGGGGAGCAAACAGG
rnacentral:rRNA from 1 species